rnacentral:rRNA from 1 species
UGCCAGCCGCCGCGGUAAUACAGAGGGUGCAAGCGUUAGUCGGAAUUACUGGGCGUAAAGCGCGCGUAGGUGGUUUUUUAAGUCAGAUGUGAAAGCCCCGGGCCCAACCUGGGAACUGCAUCUGAUACUGGAAGGCUAGAGUAUGGUAGAGGGAAGUGGAAUUUCCGGUGUAGCGGUGAAAUGCGUAGAUAUCGGAAGGAACACCAGUGGCGAAGGCGGCUUCCUGGACUAAUACUGACACUGAGGUGCGAAAGCGUGGGUAGCGAACAGGAUUAGAUA